rnacentral:rRNA from 1 species
AUUGAACGCUGGCGGCAGGCCUAACACAUGCAAGUCGAACGGUAGCACAGAGGAGCUUGCUCCUUGGGUGACGAGUGGCGGACGGGUGAGUAAUGUCUGGGAAACUGCCCGAUGGAGGGGGAUAACUACUGGAAACGGUAGCUAAUACCGCAUAACGUCUUCGGACCAAAGUGGGGGACCUUCGGGCCUCACACCAUCGGAUGUGCUCAGAUGGGAUUAGCUAGUAGGUGGGGUAAUGGCUCACCUAGGCGACGAUCCCUAGCUGGUCUGAGAGGAUGACCAGCCACGCUGGAACUGAGACACGGUUCAGGCUCCUACGGGAGGCAGCAGGGGGGAAUAUUGCCCAAUGGGCGCAAGCCUGAUGCAGCCAUGGCGCGUGUAUGAAGAAGGCAUUCGGGUUGUAAAGUACUUUCAGCGGGGAGGAAGGCGUUAAGGUUAAUAACCUUGGCGAUUGACGUUACCCGCAGAAGAAGCACCGGCUAACUCCGUGCCAGCCGCCGCCGUAA